rnacentral:rRNA from 1 species
AACGCUAGCGGCAGGCCUAACACAUGCAAGUCGAGGGGUAACAUAGAGUGCUUGCACUCUGAUGACGACCGGCGCACGGGUGAGUAACGCGUAUACAAUCUGCCUCAUACUAGGGGAUAGCCCAGAGAAAUUUGGAUUAAUACCCUAUAGUAUCUUUUAGAGUCAUCUCUUUAAGAUUAAAGGUUACGGUAUGAGAUGAGUAUGCGUUCUAUUAGUUAGUAGGUGAGGUAACGGCUCACCUAGACCACGAUAGAUAGGGGCCCUGAGAGGGGGAUCCCCCACACUGGUACUGAGACACGGACCAGACUCCUACGGGAGGCAGCAGUGAGGAAUAUUAGACAAUGGGCGAAAGCCUGAUCUAGCCAUGCCGCGUGCAGGAUGACGGCCCUAUGGGUUGUAAACUGCUUUUAUACAGGAAGAAAAAACUCUACGUGUAGAGUCUUGACGGUACUGUAAGAAUAAGGAUCGGCUAACUCCGUGCCAGCAGCCGCGGUAAUACGGAGGAUCCAAGCGUUAUCCGGAAUUAUUGGGUUUAAAGGGUCCGUAGGUGGACAAUUAAGUCAGAGGUGAAAUCCUGCAGCUCAACUGUAGAAUUGCCUUUGAAACUGGUUGUCUUGAGUCAUUAUGAAGUGGUUAGAAUGUGUAGUGUAGCGGUGAAAUGCAUAGAUAUUACACAGAAUACCAAUUGCGAAGGCAGAUCACUAAUAAUGUACUGACACUGAUGGACGAAAGCGUGGGUAGCGAACAGGAUUAGAUACCCUGGUAGUCCACGCCGUAAACGAUGGUCACUAGCUGUUCGGACUUCGGUCUGAGUGGCUAAGCGAAAGUGAUAAGUGACCCACCUGGGG